CGGAGCGUAGCGCAGUCUGGUAGCGCAUCUGCUUUGGGAGCAGAGGGUCCCGAGUUCGAAUCUCGGCGCUCCGACCA
rnacentral:tRNA from 3 species